GCACUGCCUGGGAGCCUCUCUGUGCCUGCCUUGGAGCCCCGGGGUCUGGCAGUAGUGCCAGAGCACACCCUGCUUGGUCAGAUCCGGAGCUGCUUUGACACAUCUGAACAAUCCCUUUGGCGGCAAGUGACACCG
rnacentral:snoRNA from 1 species